rnacentral:sRNA from 1 species
AGCAGGAGAACUUCAACUAAUACCGCGUACGUCCUGUACGCAACGUUGAAGUCAUUACAUCCUGUAGA